CCGGCCGCUGGUCCUGGGAGGAGCCGAGGCGGGCGCGCGGCCCGGCGGGCUCGGGGACAGCCGCGCAGCUCCCCCUGCUGGCCGCUCCGCGAGCACGCGCUGCCGGUGGGAGGGCAACGCGGGCGCCGCAAGGACGCGCACAAAGGAGGCGGACGCGGCAGCCAUGCUGGGCCCGGGGCCGCGGCUUCCCGCAGUCGCUCCUAAAACGCAAAAGGAGACAUCCUGCCCUGGCACCUUGAAAAUAUUCCUUCACCCCCCGAGCUGAGCAGCCUGCAGAGACAACAGGGGGGAGGUCAGGAAUCCUAGGCUCGGCCAACUGCCAUACAGUAAGUCACCUCUCACGGUUUGUAAAAGGAGUUUGGCAUUCCAGGGAAGAGAAGAAAGCAAACUGUCCAAAUGCAGAGAGAUAUCUGAAUCUUAUUCCUCAGUUCUUAAGAGAUGCUUACAGGUCAUUUUUCCCAUUCUACUAUGUCAUCUACUAUGAGAUUCGACAAGAUGACGUUGGGCCUACGUGCUUAACAGGAGAGGACAGAAAGACACCCUCAUCACCCCCACUGUCAGAGGCAAAUCCGGCCCAAGACCUGAAUCUGAGUCCCACCACUGGAGCAAGGAGCCUGUGGUUUCGCCAUCAGGGAGCAGCGAAAACCCAGAGCUUUAAAUCAUGGUGACAGCCCUGCAGGCACUUUGACCAGUCAAGGGCUUCCGGGGCCCCGCAGGCUGGCACGCUGUUCUCCUGGGUCCUGCACUUGACACCCCAACCUGCUCCAAACCACACUCCCAGCUCCUGCUCCUCUCCGGCUGUCUGCUCAAUCAGAU
rnacentral:lncRNA from 1 species